rnacentral:rRNA from 1 species
UUAGAUGUUCUGGGCCGCACGCGCGCUACACUGACAGAGCCAACGAGUUCUUUCCCUUGGCCGGAAGGUCUGGGUAAUCUUGUUAAACUCUGUCGUGCUGGGGAUAGAGCAUUGCAAUUAUUGCUCUUCAACGAGGAAUGCCUAGUAAGCGCAUGUCAUCAGCAUGCGUUGAUUACGUCCCUGCCCUUUGUACACACCGCCCGUCGCUACUACCGAUUGAAUGGCUCAGUGAGGCCUUCGGACUGGCU